AUUGAACGCUGGCGGCAGGCCUAACACAUGCAAGUCGAGCGGAUGAAGGGAGCUUGCUCCUGGAUUCAGCGGCGGACGGGUGAGUAAUGCCUAGGAAUCUGCCUGGUAGUGGGGGAUAACGUCCGGAAACGGGCGCUAAUACCGCAUACGUCCUGAGGGAGAAAGUGGGGGAUCUUCGGACCUCACGCUAUCAGAUGAGCCUAGGUCGGAUUAGCUAGUUGGUGGGGUAAAGGGCUACCAAGGCGACGAUCCGUAACUGGUCUGAGAGGAUGAUCAGUCACACUGGAGGUGAGACACGGUCCAGACUCCUACGGGAGGCAGCAGUGGGGAAUAUUGGACAAUGGGCGAGAGCCUGAUCCAGCCAUGCCGCGUGUGUGAAGAAGGUCUUCGGAUUGUAAAGCACUUUAAGGUGGGAGGAAGGGCAGUAAGUUAAUACCUUGCUGUAUUGACGGUACCGGCAGAAUAAGCACCGGCUAACUUCGUG
rnacentral:rRNA from 1 species